GCAGUGGGUACGGGCAAACUAGAGUGCGGUAGGGGAGAUUGGAAUUCCUGGUGUAGCGGUGGAAUGCGCAGAUAUCAGGAGGAACACCAAUGGCGAAGGCAGAUCUCUGGGCCGUAACUGACGCUGAGGAGCGAAAGCGUGGGGAGCGAACAGGAUUAGAUACCCUGGUAGUCCACGCCGUAAACGGUGGGAACUAGAUGUAGGGACCGUUCCACGGUUUCUGUGUCGCAGCUAACGCAUUAAGUUCCCCGCCUGGGGAGUACGGCCGCAAGGCUAAAACUCAAAGGAAUUGACGGGGGCCCGCACAAGCGGCGGAGCAUGCGGAUUAAUUCGAUGCAACGCGAAGAACCUUACCAAGGCUUGACAUAUAGAGGAAAAGUGUAGAAAUACACUCCCCGCAAGGUCUCUAUACAGGUGGUGCAUGGUUGUCGUCAGCUCGUGUCGUGAGAUGUUGGGUUAAGUCCCGCAACGAGCGCAACCCUCGUCCUAUGUUGCCAGCACGUAAUGGUGGGAACUCAUGGGAUACUGCCGGGGUCAACUCGGAGGAAGGUGGGGAUGACGUCAAAUCAUCAUGCCCCUUAUGUCUUGGGCUUCACGCAUGCUACAAUGGCCGGUACAGAGGGCAGCAAUACCGCAAGGUGGAGCGAAUCCCAAAAAGCCGGUCUCAGUUCGGAUUGAGGUCUGCAACUCGACCUCAUGAAGUCGGAGUCGCUAGUAAUCGCAAAUCAGCAACGUUGCGGUGAAUACGUUCCCGGGCCUUGUACACA
rnacentral:rRNA from 1 species